rnacentral:rRNA from 1 species
UUCCCAGUGUAGCGGUGAAAUGCGUAGAUAUUGGGAAGAACAUCGGUGGCGAAGGCGUGCUACUGGACCGUAACUGACACUCAGGGACGAAAGCUAGGGGAGCGAAAGGGAUUAGAUACCCCUGUAGUCCUAGCUGUAAACGAUGGAAACUAGGUGUGGCUUGUAUCGACCCGAGCCGUGCCGUAGCUAACGCGUUAAGUUUCCCGCCUGGGGAGUACGCACGCAAGUGUGAAACUCAAAGGAAUUGACGGGGGCCCGCACAAGCGGUGGAGUAUGUGGUUUAAUUCGAUGCAACGCGAAGAACCUUACCAGGGCUUGACAUGUCGCGAAUCUCGGUGAAAGCUGAGAGUGCCUUCGGGAGCGCGAACACAGGUGGUGCAUGGCUGUCGUCAGCUCGUGUCGUGAGAUGUUGGGUUAAGUCCCGCAACGAGCGCAACCCUUAUUUUUAGUUGCCAGCAUUAAGAUGGGCACUCUAGAAAGACUGCCGGUGACAAACCGGAGGAAGGUGAGGACGACGUCAAGUCAGCAUGCCCCUUACGCCCUGGGCUACACACGUACUACAAUGGUUGGGACAAAGGGCAGCGACUCCGCAAGGAAUAGCGAAUCUCAUCAAACCCAGCCUCAGUUCAGAUUGCAGGCUGCAACUCGCCUGCAUGAAGGAGGAAUCGCUAGUAAUCGCAGGUCAGCAUACUGCGGUGAAUUCGUUCCCGGGCCUUGUACACACCGCCCGUCACACCAUGGAAGCUGGUCACGCCCGAAGUAGUUACCCUAACUUUUCGAGGAGGGGGAUUCCUAAGGCAGGGCUAGUGACUGGGGUGAAGUCGUAACAAGGUAGCC